GGCACCUUUUAAGAUCAAAAAAAAACUUUGGGAUUCUUCUUCCCAAAUUCUUCAUCAAAGAAAUCGGCAGCCCCUCCCCAAGACUCCAUGGCCAUUUUUCUUCACUAAUUUUCAACUUACAUCGAUGAUAUAAUCUUAUAAUCGGGACAGUCUUGAGGCGAAGGAACUUAUAGUGCGUUUUGGAGACAAAGGAGUGAACCUAGAAGGUAGAGAAGUAUCAAGGUGAAAUAUGCUUAUGUUCAUAAGCCUAAGAGGUUAGAGUUGAUAGUAUGUCAGUGUGGUCGCGCAGCUUUGCAAUUUUUGGCGGGUCACUGGUGGUCAACAUGGUUAAAAGUCGUGGCAUGUUGUUUAAUAGUUCAAUCUUUGAUCUUCCGCUGGAUAAAUGUUAAGUUUUUAAAUGUAAUAGAUUUUUGUUGUGCUUUUUAAGCUAAAAAGAAAAUAGAAAAUUUUCAGUA